AGAUUGCUGAGGAGGUCUUGCC
rnacentral:siRNA from 1 species